CAACCCUCAAGCGCUGUUCCGCUUGGCGUUGGGGCUCUUACAGUGGGCAUUUACUGUCCUGUAAGCCCUGAAAUUCAGCGGCGAGCCCGCCGGCACACCGAGCGUAGUAAAACUACUUCCGUUCUGGGCGUGCGGCGAGGUUCAGCCUGCCAACCAUAUUUUCUAA
rnacentral:misc_RNA from 1 species